GUGCGGGACCGGGCUUGUGCCCGCGUGUGCUGCAGGUCACGCUGUCCCCAGGCACCCUCCUCGCCGCCUCGACCUCCGCACUCCGCCGAGGAGGGUGGUCAAAGACCCUCGUGGUUUCUCCCCAUCCCCACUCCCACCCUCCCUUUCCCCGCUUGUGCCUAAUUCAAUUUGCUUCUCCCGCAACAGCUCCCCAUAGCUUGACCAUUAGCAAACGGAGUUGGCCAGAGGCCUCGGUGACCAUUUGCAUGCUGACCCUGCUGCCGCCGCUGCCUGCCAGCCGGGCCCCGGGCACCCGCGAGGCGCGCCGGCGCUGCCAGCACCCCGCUUGCGGCGCGCUGCGGAGAGCUGCCAAAUCGCAGCGGCGCUGGUGCCAAUUCAGAGAGAAAGGGGCGAGGGAGCCGCACACAAAGAGCGGUUUAUAGCCUGGCCGGGCACCUGACACGGGGAGGAGGGAGGGCUGAGACGUGCUUAGCCCUGAUAAUCGCCAGUUUGAGUUUAAUAUUAUUUUUUUUUUUUUUUAAUCAAAAGCACAGCAACAGCUGGGGCUGAGGCUUUCCAGGAGAUGAACUCAUGAACAACUGUUCAAAAUAACUUUAUUCGUACUGCUAUUAGAUCAGUCCACUGGGGAGCAACCAAUUAUUUUUGAUUACUGGAGGCAGAUAAGGCUGGGGUAGAGCCGAAAACCAUGUGCUGCAAGGAUCAAGGGCACCUCAUGGCUUGGGCACGUUGGCUGUGCUGGCAGGUCACGGGCCCCCCAGCACCCAUCUGAGCCCCCAGCACCCAUCCGAGCUCCCCCCACGGUGCCAAGAGAUCAUGCCGGGGGGGAGCACAGCAGGUUGGGGGGAUUCUGCAUGAGGUUUUGCAGGUGUGCGCCGCGCGGGCAUGCAGGAGGCAGCAGGCUGUGGGGAUAUUUGCAGGCAGAUGGGUGCCAUUUCUACCUAAAAACCAAUUAACAGUGAUGCUGCAGAGCUAAUUAGCCUGUCUGAGGUUGGUCUGUCUUGUUUGUAAGCCCAUAGCGUGGCAUCAGCACAGGGAAACACGAGGGGUUUGGAGCAGGACCAGUCCCUUCCCAGCGGCCGAGGCGAGCGAUGCCCGGACUCGUGGUGCAGCAGCGCCUGCGGCGGCAGCGCGGGUCCCAUGUACCCCUGCCCGGGGGCGCGCCGCAGGGGUCCCAGCAGGGCCGUGCCCCAUCACUCGUCCUGUCCCCAUCCCGCAGACCAGACUUAAAGCGCUUUCAGUCAGCUGAGGCCAGUGCCGGAUAUUUUUGCUUUCCAGCAUGACAUCAAGCAAACCUGAGAGUGAGCUCUGUUAGCCAGCAGGAUAAUCUCCCAAGGGAACGAAAGGUGGAAGCUGAACCACUAAAAACUGGGCUGCAGGGAACAGCCUGCACUGGCCAGGAGACAGACUGCAUGAUCUAAUAGGUCUUUUCCAUUUCUCGCUCCUGUGAUUCAAGAAGUAUUGUCACUAGGGAUUUUUUUAAAAAUAGACCGGUUGAAACAGAAGACGGUGGAUGUAGGGAUCAGGCCCGCCUUGGCUGGGAGGCAGGUUGGUCUAACAGGACUUUUCCAUCACGCCGUUCCAUGAUUAAACGAGACAAGAAAAGAAAAGGAAAUUGAUAAACACAAUAGUAAUUCCAUCCAGGGUUUGCCUUAGUCAGGUUAUUACAAUCCUGACAUCAUGUCUUGAAAAGAGGACUGGAAAUAAAUCUCUAGUAGAUAAUAUCUGCUCACUGGGGAUGGAGAGGUGCACCGGGCUGCCAGGGGCAUGAGGAGUUAAUGCCUUUGGUGGUCCCCUCCCCAAAAAGCUGCUUCUCCUGAUUUCGCUGGAUCUCAAACCAGCAACGGAAGCGUGAUGCUUCCAAGGAGACUUCACACCUUCUUCUGCCUGUGCCCCUUCGGCCUUCCUGCUAAAAUCAGCCCCCCCUUCGAAAAAAGCAUCUUCUGAAGGCAUCUCGCCAUGGUUGGGAAACUUAUUUCCUGCCAGGUCAUUUAAUCAGGACAAACACUGAGGCGUCUGGGUUUGGCUUCAGCUGACGGGGGGUGCAGUCUCCCGACACCAGCGGUCUCACCACUGGGUCCCUGUGGGAGCAGGUCCCCUCCUGCACUGCCAGCUCUCCAGGGACACCCCGGAGUCGGACCAGCCUGAGCUGUAGCUAUUCCCGGCGGCCCCAGGCUCUGGAAGUGCAGCUCAGGUGAGGCAGGAUGCCUACAUGAUGCAAAUUGGGAUUUUUUUCUGUCCCUUUGGCCUUUAUGGCCGCUACUGAGGAUAGGUGUGAAAGCAUGAGCGAGGCGGCUUAGAAACAUGCCUCAGCCCACAGACCCCUCUCCAGCCCUCACCGGUGGCGCUGGGAACUCAGGAAUCACCGUUUCAGGGAGGCAAAUGAAAUAUUCUCCCUUUUUUUCCCUAAAUGGUCCCCACUAAUGGAAGGUCUCAGUCUGGAAUUGAUUUGACUCCCGUCACCAGAGCUGCUGCUACCAGGGAUUUCGUAAGAGUCCGCAAGGCCUUUAAUCUUUUCCUCUACAAAUAGGUAUGAUGUAAAACCCAAAUCCUGACCACCUCGUGGUUAGGAGUCUUGUGGCACUUGCAGCCGGAGCCAGGAGCGCGAGCCCUCGGGUCCUGGCCCAACUCCAGCCGGGCAAUUUGUGUUCUGUCUCCGCAUCCCCCACCGCUUCAUCCGUGGAAAUCGGAGCUGCUCCCGUCCAGUCCCGGCUGCUCCUGCCGUACCACGGCGCUCACUGAAACAGCCUCCGCACCCGGCCCUGGGGAAAGAUGCAUUGCAGGGGGCUGCUGCUUGUCGCUCUGAUGCAAAAUCCCAACCCAAACCCCACUUGGAAAGGAGAAACGCGGAGGAAGACACACAGCUCUGCUGCACCCUCCAAAGGUCUGACCAUCUCCAGCCCAGGAAAUUCCCUGGCUACGUUUGGACCCGGCGCAAGGCUGAGCGUUUCGGGGUUGAACCAUGAAAAGAAGUAUUGCAAUAUGUGAACAUUGCACCCAGCAGUUCUCACACGGCAUCUCUCCGCAGCCUUAGCAGACGCAAUCUAUAUUUUCUUUUAAAACAGCGGCCCAGUUGCUCCUCCAGCACAGGGCGCGAUGCAGAGGGAGAGGGAAGGUGGUCUCCAUGGGCAGGGACAUCAUCGGCAAAGGACUAAAAAUGCCACACGGUGAUACUAGCGGAGCCCAGGCUCAGCCCACACAGAGAUCAGGCGGCUCUGGACGGGUGGGAGAUGCCUUCUUCAGAUGGCAGCAUCCAGCCCCACCAGCAAUGACACGGCGCCUGGCUCCUCGCCUCUCCCCGCGGGGUACUGGGUCCCACCAGCCCUCACGCAGCUCAAAGUCUUGCCUGGGGAUGAGAAGGGACGUGGCCGUCUGUCCAGGACCACCAGGCACCCACAGCCACCCCAGUCUGCGCCAUCCUGCUGCUGUGGGGCUUUCACCAUAACCUCAGCCAAACGACAUCACAUUGUGCUGAGGACAUCCGCAUUCUGUGCCUGGCUCUCCGUUAACGCCGCCUGAAGUGGGGGCUGAACGCUCCCCGCGUGGCACGAGCAUGGUGCAAAAAGUAACUCCCUUUGCCAGAGCAUCCCUCUGCCGUCCUACCUGGGGAUGUCGGAGGUGGGGAGGUCUCCAGGAGGGAUGUAGAUGCAGAUGUUCAGUAACACCAGGACGCGGGCAGGGUUGUUAGCUUUCAUGGUUAUCGGCGCUGUUUAACCACGCACACGCUUAUUUUCCUUGGCUCUGACAGAGAAAUGUGCUCCUCGAGGACUUUUCAUUAAGCAAAAAAUUUAUGAGAGAGGAUGAAAAUUGUGUUUUACUGUCUGAGGUCUCGGUCAGUGCUGUUUCUUCAGACGCUUUAGUAAUUCAUCUUGGCAAGGACUAAGAAAAUUUCUCCAGCGAAACAAAAAAUUUAACUUCCACAUUUGGAGUCAGUUGCAUCGGCUGGUUCCGUCCCCAGCAUGGACCGAUGCCCGGAGUAAUGACCUGAUGCCAUGGGGAUUCAAAACAAAAGUGAAACACCUCACAAUUUAUGUCCAGUGAAAAAUAACGUGUACAUGAUGUAAAGCGUUAUUGGGAUUUGAUGCUAAUUUUAGUGGUCACCUUGGCUGCGUUGGAGGAAGUUGCCGGUGCUGCCAAGAGCAAAUUUACCUGAUGAUGAAUGAGGAAUCGGAACAUAAAAUAAAUAAAUAUCAGCAACACCUUUUUUUUCCUCCUUUUUUGGCAGAUCGGUGUCAUCCAAGGUCACACAUUUGUGCAGUAGGAGAACUACUGCCAGAGCUUAGCGCUUUAAAAUCACGGCGAAGUAAAGAGCAGCAUCUUUAAGUGCGGGAUUUAAAAACAAAGCCCAAAGUAGAGUCUCCCAAAAAUUCUUGCCCAUUGGUUACAUUUUCACGUCAGCUUUAAUCUUCUUCCCUCCUUGUGCUCAGGCUUGGAAGAAGCUUGCCAUGAACUUCUGCAAAAAGUCCUUGUUUUCUUCUUCGAAACCAGGCCUAAAAACUCCCGAGCCGGGUAACGACCAAUCUGUAUUUGACUUUUUUUCUCCUGUUCAUGGAAAAACUUUUGAAAGUUGUGCUCCGAGAUGGAGAAAAAGGAUUUUUUUGACAAAACGCAGCAAAUCGCAACAAGCAGGACAAUCUUUUGUUUCCAUCAGCAGUUUUCGGAGAGCGGGAACGGUUCCUGGCCAACUCUCAGCAUAAACUUGAGCCAGGCUCUGUUCGAGGGGAGGCAGAAGCUCCCCAUGGAGAAGCUCAUCCCAGAACGGCCCCAGGCAGGGGGUCGUCUCCGCUUCCCUCUGAAGCACGCUGGCCACUGUCAGAGGACGGAUACCGGACCCCAAGCCUGGGGGAAAUAGAGCCAUUCCCACAUUUUUAUGAUUUUUUUUUUAAUUACUCCAGGCGGGAGUUUAAGAAGGAAUAAGUGCUUUCAGGCUCACGGCGCUGCAGCGACGGGAAGCAGAGCAGCGGAUGCUGGUUUCUCCGUGGGCUUCCCAAAAUCCAACGCAAACCCUCCGCAACUUAAAUCUGCAAAACGGGCAGGAGCCCCCCUGAAGUGACCCCUGGUCCGGCGGGCUCCGAGGGCAGCAAGUGUCGCUGCCUGCCUUCCCAAGCUGCUGCUAAUUACUGAAAGCAUUUUAUACAAAAGAAAAACAAACAAAAAAAAAACACCAAAAAACCAGGAAGUUCCCCUUUUAAAAACCACAAGUUUUAUUUGCCUGUAAUACCAGCCAUUCUGUGGGUUUGGAGAUGGCCUUUGAAGAUUUGGGGGUUAUUUUAUUUUUCAUUCGUUUCCCUCCCCAAAAGAGGAUGCGGAAAGGAGAUGUGUAAAGUUACAGAAAUAACACAACCUACAAAGGGAGGCGGACAGAAAGUUUGCGUUACGUUAAGCAGGAGAGACGGGGCACAGCUGGAUUUAUAGCAACCCUCAGAAAAAAUGAUAAAUGGAAGCUGUAAUUUUUUAUUGGGGGGGGGGCAGAUCACGGGUGAGGGAACAAAAUAAUAAAAAAAGCAUAAAUUAGAAACGUGGCUGACGGUUGGGAGUAGAAAGCGUUUGGCUCGUAUAUAAUGUGAGUUUCUUCUGGAACAUGAUCCAGAGCAGUGCAUGGAAAUUACCUGCAAAAAAGAUUUUUCUAUUAAGUCAUGUAAGGGUGAACUUUCCCUAUCACGGCUCCAUCGACCGAUGCCCCGAGAGGGGGGGCUGCACUUUGCAUCGCGCCGCUCCCGAACCCAUCCUGCAGCACCCGCCCGUGCUUGGCUGUCCCGCACGGAGCUGCUCCGGCUUAUCCUGUCCAGGUAUUUAAUACGUACAGGAUGAAAUGCGUCGUGCAGGGCCAGCGCACAAUUUAAGCCCAAUACAAGCCCAGAGAGACGCUCUGUGUUUCUCCCAAUGGCUUUAGGAGAGGUUUUGCUGGCUGUCGGGCAGCUGCCUGUCUGUGCACCCAUCCGGCUGCUCGGGGUGCUGCUCCCCGGGGUGUGGGGACAUCAAUUCGCUGCCUCUCGGGGCCACCGGCUUUCGCCCAGCAAAGGGAGCACCCGUACGGGACCCUCCAUCGCUGGGAGAGUGCGGGAACGUCUGCCCACGCAGCUGGGAGGAAUCCCGGCGCUCCGAGGAUGUUUCUUCCCUCCAGCCCCAGGCUGAGGCUGCUCAGGAGGAUCCCGCAGGAGAUGACGGGAGCCCGGCUUGCCCCUGGCGGAGAUGCCCCGGGGAGGCGCUGGCGGCUGGUUUCCCACGGGGUAAGAGCUGCCUUUGCAAGGCGGUGGGCAGCGGGGCUCCUGCCCGCCCCGUCGCCACAAACCUCUGCUUCGACAGGGACUCUCUCACGUGUCUGCCAGCAAAAGCAGUCCCAGGGGAGACAGGAGUGGGGGGGACGAGGGCAAAGAUUUUACCAGCAGAGAAAUGUUGGCACUGUGUUUGUAAGGCUCACCCUUCCCCCUUCCCAAAUAAAAAGAGAAAGCAGGAUGAAUCCGAGCCCUAACAGACUGUGAGUUUAUUAUGGGCAGUGCCCAGUCCCCCAGCUCUGCCCCAGUGCCGGGGCUUGUGCCCAGCCUGGAGGCCAACGUCCCGGCCAGGCCCCAGAGCGCCGUGGAUGUGUCCGCCCCACACGCGCUACCGGAGCCCCUCGGCUUACACAGAACAUCCCUCCUUUCCUCGCUCUGCAUUUCGAAGGGGAUGAGCAUCCCCAGAGGAUUUUACGGCUUGCCCUGUGAACGCAGCGACUCCAGGUCUGCGUGAGCAAAUGAAAGGAGUGGGAACGAACCGAGCAUCUUUCCGUGACACGUUUCCACCCACCACGUGUUUCUCAAAGAGCAGCAGACUCGCAGCGCCCCAGACUUUCCGAGUCUUGUCCUGACAGCCAAGUUUGUCUCUCGACCUGCCUGGUUUCUUUAGGUUUGAGUCCAUCUACCGAUCCCCUUUUUGAUGCCAGAAAUGCUUCCACAAGCCAAAUUUCCCCGGUAAUUGUCCUUUGGAUUAGUUUGGAAAAUUGCAUAAGCCCUGGGUUAGAGCUGGCUGCGUCUCUCUUCCGAGUGCCUAAGGCUUCAUGGGGCAAAGACUAAAGAGCUGCGAAAUGCAGAGAUAUAACAGAUGUUGACAUGUAGUGAAAAUACUAGACGCAGGAGCCUAAGAUAAUAAAUCUGAAAAAUUAACACGUAAGAGAACGAAAAAAGGAGCAAUAUGUUUUGGUAAUCAUUCUGAACUGCUGAACCCUUCUCCUGCAGUUCAAAAAUCUCUGGUAUUAAGCAGAUGUCAUUCAAGCAAUGAUUAACACAUUACUGAAUUUCUCCAGUCGUUUAAUAAAAGUUUUACAUAACAUGCAGGUAAUUGCUUCCAAAUGUCAAGGUAACAAUGUGGGCUUCUAUGGAUGGCAUUGUUUCCAGCAUCAGGUGAAAAACCCCUCUUGUUGCCUUGAUAUCAGACGAAGCCCUGCUGCGAAGACCCCGCGCCUGGCCAGCUGCUUUUCCCGUCACUCCUCUGGAUGCCAGAGACAAAGAAACAGGCUGGGAAGAGUCAAAGCCUUGGAUCUGGGAAUGAUUUCUUCCCUUCAACUGUCUGUACGGGCAGCAAACGGGCCUUGUGCUCCAAAGCUGUGGCAUGGGUAUAUGUCUUUUCUGCGAUUUUUAAAUUUUUUUUUUUUAGUUUUCUUGCUAGAUAAUCUCGUCGCUGCUGGGUGCGAGGAAGCGAUGGAAAGAACAGGGUGAAUGGGAGAGUCUGGGCAGCAGCGAUGGGGCGUUGCUCUUCAUAGCAGCCCUUGCCCUGAACCCAACCCAUGCUCAAAGUCUGAAAUCAUCCAUCGUGAGAUCAGGAAAAAAAGUCAUCCCAACCAGUUUAUUUGCUGGGGAAUCACCCUGACCCACAGCCGGGGGUACUGGCUCUGCACUGCUGCAGCAUCUCGCUUGGUAUUUCAGUGUCGGUGCAGGAGUGAAGUGUGAGAGUGAUGGAUGCCGGGGGACGGGGGAGCCUGACAGGCUGCAAACUCUGUGCAGGCUCAGAGAAUUGCUGGCUAAUGGCUUUCAAGGCUGCAAAUGAGCUUCCCAAAUUAUUAGAGCUGGAGAACAGGAUACCUUUAAAACAACCAAUCUGUCACGAGACACAUCCUGUAUCUGUCAGAGGCCAGCGUGACGCCAUGGGGGGAAUCCGUGACAAAAAUCUAGGGAGGGCUGGAAAAAAAAAGGCAUGUUGAUGUGGUUGUUUUGACGUGACAUUUCUUUUUAGGCAGCCUUAAGGGAUUUCUGCUGCCGCUGCAGGUAGCACGUGCCAUCUCUGCUAACCAGCGUCUCCGCUACGGCUCUCGCUGCUGCUGAGACGAGCGGCGCUGAGAAAGCACGAUUGUCCCGCGGCCUUGCAAACGGAGAGAAGACAUGUCCAAGGUGCAGGCGCCGUCGGUGCAGUGCUCUGUGGCAGACUGCAGGCAGCCCAGACCCCCAGGAACGUGGCUGGGUUACUUCAUCUCUGUGCACUCCAGUUCCUCGGCUGCAGAAGAGGGACGAUGACAGCGCUGACCCUUCCCGGACACGUGUGAGCACAGCCUCAGAGCACGAGGGAACCGGUGGGUGGUACUGGAGGCAACAUGCCCAGGGAGGACGGAGGUGCUGCUCAGACCACCUGGCUUCUCAACAGAGAUGAACAGCAACAAGGCUGAGUAACAGGCUGGCCCCAACCAUCAGAGAGGAGAUGCUGGAGCAGGUCUAGCCUCGCUCAGGAGGAACCAAUUAGCUAGGAAACAUCUCCCACCUCCUCCCAUGAUUAAUGUCAUUCAUCAACUGCUUCUGCUCUCCGUCACUGUCAGGCACCGAAUUUUUGCACAUGGAUGAGCUGCUCAGGGACAGGGGAGAUGGUAACAUGGUCCAGGGUGAGGGAAGCAGGUGCAAACGAUGGUGAACUGAUCCAGGCAUGCGCUUUCUGCGAGGGCGCAGCCUAUCAGAAUUACUGCCGUGCCCAACCUGCCGGCGAGCGGCUGGGUGCACUCGGCAUCUGCAGGGCUCUUCUCAGAUGAAGCUCAUCACAGUUUCCACGCAAAUAUGUGGAAAACAUUUGCAGGGCACCUGCUCCCCCACCCUCACACCUGGAGACCUUCUGCCUUCACCUCUUUGAACGACCGGCAGCGCUCGCUCAUCGCCUCUGGGACCCGGCGCUGCUCCUCCAGACCCGCGCAUCGCGCCGUGCCAGGUGGGUCCCUCCUGCCCUGAGAGCAGCCGAGAGGCACCGCAGGACUCCACGGCCGCGCCGGCGUGGCGUGCACCUGCCUGCAAACUGCCUGAGCACCUGCUGGUGCCCGGUGCGCGGCACACGCUUGUGGGCGCGCCGAGAACCGGGGCGACACCAGAGACGCGAAGGGAACCGUGGUCACGGACAGCCCCAGGACGGCAGUGGGUGAGGUCGUUUGGAGGUAGAAAACAGGACGGCAGCAGCAUCACUGGAUGUCCAAGCGUGGAAAUCACUUUGGAAAAAAACCUGGUUUGGUUUUUUUUUUUUUAAAAUAGGAGCAUUUCAUCUGUUUCAUUAUGUCCACAUCAACUUUUAUCAUCAGUGAAAACCCAGCUCUUUCUUGUGUUUGUUCUGUGGCUUUAUGAAGACAUAAACCUGUGGAUCUUGCUGCCUGCGUGUCCUUACGGGACUCUAGAGAUAUCAGCGUGCUCCAGUGAUAACGGCUAUUCGCUCUCCAGCUCUGGUGCUUUACAGCCCACCAGAACGAAUCCCACUUGCCUGCCCUCCAGUCCCCGAGUUCAGAGAAGCGAGGACACACCAGCUGGUCCAGCAUGGCCCAGUGACGGGAGCCAGGCUGGCGGGAGCCGGGCAGAGGCUGCAUAAAGCUCGUGGAGGUGGCUGAUUUGCGACCUUGAAUUUGUUGGGCUUUUCUUCUUGCUAACAUCGGUGCCAGGGCAGGAGCCGUGCGAGCACCUACCUGUCCGUGGGCUGCAGAGUGGAGGUGACCUUUCCACGGGCCAGUGGCAAGCAGCUCUGAGAAAGCAGGGCUGUGCGACUGCUGAAAUGGCCUGGCAGGAGGUCUUUAAAUUGCUCGAUGUCUCUGUGCUGAAAAGCAAUACCUGCUGAGAUUAAACCGUUUGGCCUCUUUCCCCCUGUCUCCAAGGCAAACAUAGACAGUUCUAUUCAUACCCACAAGAAAUACAUAUUUCAGCAUUUGAUUCUUUUUGUGUGUGCUUUUGUUUUAUCUAGCGCCAUGGAGCUUGGAUGUCUUUUUCAUCUCAUAUUGUGCUUUGGAUGCAGCCUCUUUUAUUCAGCCCUCUUGCUGCCUUCAUAAAGAAUAACAGCGGCAGUUGUUGUUUUUUCCCCUGGAGCAUGGGCUGCUGUAAACCAAAGGGAAACUUCUUGCUGAAAGACGGAGAGGGCAGGCAGGACGCUGCUGUAUCCAUUUCCACACCAGAGCUGCAGCCCUGCAGGCCAUGCAGUUUGGCUUUCUCAAGCCUUCAUGGAGAGCAACAAAUUGUCCUAUAAAAAUUCUUGUCUUGAAUUUUAUUUUUCUAAGGAGACAGGCCUAACUUGUAAACUUGGGACUAAAAAUCUUCUUAAAUGGACAGCAAAGUCCAAGACAAGCCGUGGCACUGAAGUCUAACGGGGUCUUCAGAUUCUGCCUCGCUCCCUCCCUAAAUGUGCAUCUGAAGCCUCCUUUUCCUGGCUGUGGAGAGCCCGUUUUUGUGGGCUCAGCUAAGCCCCCACCUCAUGCAACCUCUCAGCAACCGUCAUAAAGAAGAAAACCUUGCAAGGCCAUUUCUGCUUAUCUUCCAGUUGAGGUGGGACAAGAGCUGCUGGGCCCAGUGCCAGACUUGAAGGAUGUGGUCCAGUCUCCCCUCCAUCUUCCCGUGAAGGUAAUUUGGGGUGAGGAUGGGAACUGCUGCCCCCAGCCUCUUCCUCUCCACAUCCAGCUGGGAAGUCAUGCUGUAUGUGCACCGACGAGCCCUGCCCCGAGCUAUCACCCAUCUUGCUGCCGGUGGCUGUGCUGCUCACACCGGUGCCUCCCGCUGCUUACGCCGUUAGCUCCGCGGCGUGGCCCAGGAACAAGUGCCGCCGGGGAUUCAGCUCCGCAGGUCACCAGCUGCUGAUGAAUCGCCUUCCUGGAGACCAAUUGCUUCCCAUUCCCCAGGUGAAACGCCUGGGCUGCCUGCACGGAAUGGCUCUGCCGGACACGGGGGAGAGGUCCCCAUCUGUGAUCAUGCUUGAGACACUCUGAAAAACAGUAAGAAAAUAAGGGCCCCACGGUCGAAGCAAGAGAGGGGGAAAGGCUGGCGGGAGCGACCUGGGCAUGCCCCUUCUCACUCCUCCUUCCCCUUCCUUCCCACUCCGGCCUUGCUCUGUGCUGGAGGCGGACAACAUCCAGGGCAAUGUGUGUUUUGGGCUGUCUAAGAUGCAACGAAGAACCUCCCACAGGUCUGAAUGAUACAGAUCCUCCCAUUUUAGUUAUUUCCACCCUAAUUAUAAAAAAAUGUGUUAAGCAGAAAUUUCUUCAUUCAGAAAUGUUUAGGCACCGGUUCCCAAUCAUCCAGCUUGGAUUAUCCUCCAAACAGGGUGCUGCAAACCACAUAAUCCUCUCCCUGUCGGGCCUAUCGCCGUGGUGGUUUCCAACAACCGCGAGUGAUGCUGGAAGCAAGAACAUCUUGUGGCAAUAUGUUGCCCUUGAACCUUGAGUUGGGAAUCACGGGGUUUAAGGCAUUUGAAAUCUAUGUCUGAAAUUUGUGACUCAUGACAUGCUCUGACGUGAGAGGAGGGAUGCUUUGAACCAGGGUGGCUGCGUGAGUUAAACCAGAGCAGCGUUCCUGGGACCCAUGGUGUCUGGGAGGCAGUGCCCAAAAAUACCCUUCCCAGCUCUAAGAUCUGGUCCUUCAUGCCCAGGUAAAUACCAAAACCUCUGAUUUGUUUAAUUAGAUCAGCCUCUCUCUGCCUUGUGCCAUGUGUCUCCCCAAAAGCGGGGCCAAGGCUCCGCUCAUUCUUGCUUUCCUCGUCGCGAAGGGCCAGGUGAGGGACGGCCGGUACCGUCCCUGCUAACGGAGCCGCACGUCCAACCCUCCGGCACCCGGGGCGGAGGAGGCAGGAUGGGCACGACUGGGAACAGCACCUCUUCGGCCACAUGCCUCUCUUCAGCUGCGCAGACCACCGAAGACAAAUGAACUGGAGGAAGCAUUUCCUCUGCCGAAGGCUCACACCCGGGAGGUUUCUGUUCACAGUGUAGGUCAAGAGUUGAAAAAUGAAGAAGAAAGGAAAACAGAUAGAAAGAUCCAUCUUCCCUUAUAAAAUCCCCAGAGCAGGGGGCAUUUGGAAGUCAUUUUUCACUGAGCUGAGAGCUGUUUCUGGCCCUUUAGCAGACGUUAUUCUCUUCUCAAACCUCACAGUUUGGGACACGGGGAAGCGCUUUCCCUCCACCCUCGCGGGUGCUGGAAGAGGAGCGUUACCCUGGCUGCACGACACUUGGCACCCUCCUCCGAGGCCGGGGUCCACGGUGGUUUGGGCUUUGGUGCAAGGUGGAGCCCAAUGCACACUGCAAAUGACUCUGUUCCUCAGCGCGCAAACUUUUUAAAUGCAUUCGGGCUGAGAUGCAAAAAGAAAUGCGUGGCUUGGAUUUGCUGGCAUUAAUGCACAGGCUAAGGGGGACAGCUUUUAAGGGGGGAAACCCAGGCAAGAGGAGGAAGGAGAAUUUCAGCAUGGUUAAAGGAAAUCUAAAUAAAAUUCCUUUCUGGAAGAAAUUCAAGAAAAUUAUUUUCCUUCUGUGUUUCUGUCUCUCUUCUUCUGGCUUAUAAAAACACCUUGGCUCGGAUAUUACAUCAACUCUGCCUUUUAUUAAAAACCCCUGCUCCAGUUGUGCAGAUUUCAUGCUGUUACAUGAAAGUAA